rnacentral:rRNA from 1 species
AGAUUGAACGCUGGCGGCAUGCCUUACACAUGCAAGUCGAACGGCAGCACGGGAGCAAUCCUGGUGGCGAGUGGCGAACGGGUGAGUAAUACAUCGGAACGUGCCCAAUCGUGGGGGAUAACGCAGCGAAAGCUGUGCUAAUACCGCAUAAGAUCUACGGAUGAAAGCAGGGGAUCGUAAGACCUUGCGCGAAUGGAGCGGCCGAUGGCAGAUUAGGUAGUUGGUGAGGUAAGGGCUCACCAAGCCUUCGAUCUGUAGCUGGUCUGAGAGGACGACCAGCCACACGUGGACUGAGACACGGCCCAGACUCCUACGGGAGGCAGCAGGUGGGAAUUUGGACAAUGGGCGAAAGCCUGAUCCAGUCCAUGCCGCGUGCGAGGAGUGAGGCCGUUCGGGUUGUAAACUGUCGUUUUAGGUAACGGUAACGUAAAGUU